UCUAAUAUGGCAGAUUAGUGCAAUGAAUUUAAGCUUCAUAAAUAAAGAUACAUAUCUUUUAUUAGAA
rnacentral:tRNA from 1 species